GGCGGGGUGGGGGCAGCGGCUGAGACCAUCGAGCGUGGGGAGCACUCUCCUCCCUCUCCCCGGAGCGUGCACGGAGGAGGUGCCGGGAGCGUCACGUGGAUGGGAGCCCGGUGGGAGAGCUACCCCUUCGGACUGUAGUGACUCACUUUGUUUUGGUCAGUUCCCUACUGAACCCCCAAAGUCCGUGCACAAGGAAGGGAACACCUCCAGACCAGGACAAGGCGCGACCGCUAAAGGAACCCCCAAAUUUACCCCUGGAAUUCCUUUCCCGUGUGAAGUCUUAGCACCACGUCCGGGCGAACGAGCUCAGGCCCCACUGCUGGGUUCACACUGUCGUUGGUUUCGAGGAAGACCCGCCUUUCUCCACAGAGGAGGCCGAGGCCGGGGAGCCCUGGGACGGCAGACAGGAGGGCUGGGGGGCGGGAGAGGGUGUCUGCCACACUGGAAGGCCUGGACCCCCCUCCCAGAGGCCGAGCUGGUCUAUCUUCCAGGAGGAGGAAGUGUCCCCGCGCCGCCCCGGGCUCUUUUCGGAAACAGAGCGGAGGAACUGGCCGCACGUGCCUGUGACCACGCUGUCCGCGCAGCACCAGAGGGGGCAACGCCAGCCAUCCAGGUCAAGGCAGCGCUCCAGCGGAAACGCGUGACCCUGACCGGCAGGGCCCUUCCUCUGUCUUCCCCAGCCCAAACGGAAAGAGGAAUGUCAGAGCCAGAGCAAUUUCACAAGAGUACAUCAUGAGAAAUGCUGCGCUGGAUGAAGCACAAGCUGGAAUCAAGAUUGCCAGGAGAAAUAGCAAUAACCUCAGAUAUGCAGAUGACACCACCCUAUGGCAGAAAGUGAAGAACUAAAGAGCCUCUUGGUGAAAGUAAAAGAGGAGAGUGAAAGAGUUGGCUUAAAGCUCAACAUUCAGAAAACUAA
ensembl:lncRNA